rnacentral:rRNA from 1 species
AUUGAACGCUGGCGGCAGGCUUAACACAUGCAAGUCGAGCGGGGUGAUGGUGCUUGCACUAUCACUUAGCGGCGGACGGGUGAGUAAUGCUUAGGAAUCUGCCUAUUAGUGGGGGACAACAUCUCGAAAGGGAUGCUAAUACCGCAUACGUCCUACGGGAGAAAGCAGGGGAUCACUUGUGACCUUGCGCUAAUAGAUGAGCCUAAGUCGGAUUAGCUAGUUGGUGGGGUAAAGGCCUACCAAGGCGACGAUCGGUAGCGGGUCUGAGAGGAUGAUCCGCCACACUGGGACUGAGACACGGCCCAGACUCCUACGGGAGGUAGCAGUGGGGAAUAUUGGACAAUGGGGGGAACCCUGAUCCAGCCAUGCCGCGUGUGUGAAGAAGGCCUUAUGGUUGUAAAGCACUUUAAGCGGGGAGGAGGCUCUUUUGGUUAAUACCCAAGAUGAGUGGACGUUACUCGCAGAAUAAGCACCGGCUAACUCUGUGCCAGCCGCCGCGGUAA